CAGUAGCCACGGGAAUACGAAGGGGGCUAGCGUUGUUCGGAAUUACUGGGCGUAAAGGGCGCGUAGGCGGCCAUUCAAGUUAGAUGUGAAAGCCCUGGGCUCAACCUAGGAAUUGCAUUUGAUACUGUUUGGCUUGAGUUCGGGAGAGGUGAGUGGAAUUCCCAGUGUAGAGGUGAAAUUCGUAGAUAUUGGGAAGAACACCAGUGGCGAAGGCGGCUCACUGGACCGACACUGACGCUGAGGCGCGAAAGCGUGGGGAGCAAACAGGAUUAGAUACCCGCGUAGUCCCUGUCUCUUAAAC
rnacentral:rRNA from 1 species